UCAGUGUCCCCCACGCCUGCCUAGCCAGCACCUCCACGCUGACCUAACCAGCAGCUCCACCACGGAUUAGCCAUCACCCUCAAAGCAGUCUAGAUGUCAGCCCCCUAAUCCCCACCCCACAGCCACCUCAACAUCAUCUCUGUGGUGGCCUGGCCAUCAGCGUGAUCACAGCCUGGCCAGAUGUUGUGGCAGCAGGGAGGUCCUGCCAAGGCCCUGUCCCUCUGGGGAACCAAGGGGAGAGCUCCAGAGCAGCUGGGUGCUCCCCGUCUUUCACAGUUGGAUGAGGGCAUGGCUGACCAACAGUGGAGGUUUCCUUUUGGCCCUGUUUCCUCGCGGUGUUCCUGUGGGAACAGGGACCAGAAAGGAGGGCCAUGCUCCUUCUAGCAGCACACCAGCUCCUCUCCCAGCACAGGCACCAGCAACUGCUACUUCACAACGCACAAUAAGAGAAAGUAACAGAAGUAUGCAAACCCUCUUGGAAGUUUGUGCCACUGGAAGAUUAAAAAUUAAUUUCAAAGCCGACAUUUCUAAGACUUAAUGGAAACUGCACUACUUUUCAGACACUUUGCAUGAUAGAGCUCACCUGGGUUCUGCAAAUAACAGAGGAUGCUACUAAAUGCUUUCCAGCUUUUCAAAGGCAGUGGAUUAAACAAAGGAUCAAAAGGCAGAAUGAAAAAAUCAAAACAAGCUUCAGAAAAAAUGAGGAAUAUCACUUCUGAAGUCAGGUUUAUUGUUAUGUCAGUAUAGGGCACUAUUACACAUGGCCUUAGAAAUCUUUACUUCGCAGAUGAAGCAGUUGUUGGUCUUGGAAGAAAUACGAGUGGUUGGUUAGUUAUGAAAAAGUUGUCUGAGCAGAAGGCACUGGAGAGCUUUUCUUAACUGCUUGCUACAAACAGUUCUCUGGGCAGAUCAAUGAGUCCUGGGCUGAAGUUUCUGCAAACCAGCAUAGUCUGAAUAUCCAUAAUAGAUAGAAGUGUAUGAACAAAGAAUUUAAAGGUAUCUGGCACACAGACACUUAAUAAUUUCUCUGCCAGUUGAUUUGCUAUUGGUAGAUUGCCAGUUCCAAGAUCUUUGCACAGACGCAUGUUCAAAGAUGAAAAAGCAUUUAAGUAUCUUAUAAAGGACAAACUCUUUCUCAGAAAGGAAUGACAAAAAUAAGAGAUGCAGUAUACAAGUAGAAGGCAAAGGGGUUCUCUGGCAAAUGGGUGAGUUCGACAUGGGUCCAGACAUGGGUUACUUUUCAAAGACCUUGCAACUGAGUGCUCUUAGAAAAAAUGAUUUUUGUGUCAGGCUCUUUUCUAAGCCUCUUUUCCUGUUUUGUUCUUCACUUUCGUACAAUGCUGUCACCAAAGAGAUCAAAUAGAAGGUCAGGUAACAGUAGUUUCAACAAGGUUUUGUGAGAGCAUUGGUACACAGCCGGGACACCUAGAAGAUAUGCGGUACUGGUUUCAGGAUUUACAAGUCAGCCUGACUGCAGUGGCCCGCACAAUGCCUUUGGUGCCUAGGGUAGGAGUAGCAAGGCUGCAACAGUUCAUUUA
rnacentral:lncRNA from 1 species